CAGUCGCCGCGGGAAUACGAAGGGGGCUAGCGUUGUUCGGAUUUACUGGGCGUAAAGGGUGCGUAGGCGGAUUGUUAAGUCAGGGGUGAAAUCCCAAGGCUCAACCUUGGAACUGCCUUUGAUACUGGCGAUCUUGAGUCCGGGAGAGGUGAGUGGAACUGCGAGUGUAGAGGUGAAAUUCGUAGAUAUUCGCAAGAACACCAGUGGCGAAGGCGGCUCACUGGCCCGGAACUGACGCUGAGGCACGACAGCGUGGGGAGCAAACAGGAUUAGAUACCCCCGUAGUCCCUGUCUCUUAUAC
rnacentral:rRNA from 1 species